UUUGAUUGAACUUAGUAGAGUAGGUAGUGCGGCACCGGCAUUUAUGGGAGGUAGACGUGUACCUCUUCAGCACUCAAAUGCACGUAAAUACGAUGUUUUUUUUCUGAUAAAACAUAAAUAAAGCCGUGACAGCGUUCUCGUAUCGACGUGGUUUCGUGAUAACUCGAGUUAAGUGUUGUGUUGCUGAUUAAAGAUGAGGAUUACGAAUCAACACGCCACUGAAAGUAAUGCAUUACGGAAGACUAUUCAGUUAUAGAAAUCACGAUUGAAUACGAACGAACGAAUUCCUAUUAAAAAAAACGGCUUCUAACAACGUUAUAAUGUGUUCAACUGUUGAUAUUAAGUGAUAUUAACGGUCUAAAACUUUAUACGCUAUUUAGCUAAUAACGGUUAUUUUUAAUCAGCUAAUAACAGUUAUUGUCAACCUGCUAAUAACGUUAUGUUAAAAAAGCAGCUACAAGUUUAGAGCGAGACAGAGCUACGUUCCAGAAAUAGUGUGUUCGAAAAUAGAGGAAAAAUGUCGAGCUCACAGUCAGUGAGGGACAGUGAGGCGGCGGGGAGUAACGCCGCUCGAUGGUGGCAGACACCAUGGAAAGCCAUGGCUGACUUAGCCGAAGCAGUUGACGACCUUAUAUGCAGCUUCGACUAUAUGGACACAGCCAUGGACAACUUAGUGAUGUUGAUAUUCAUAUGGGUAUUAUUCUCAAUCGUGCUCCUGGGUAUAGCGAAAUGGGCGUACAGCAAGUUCAGCCAGAAACCAGCGGAGGUGGAGGCGAAACCGUUGAAAACGAACGACGAGAAGAAGACAGCGAACGAAAUAAUCACCAGUGCUGAUAGUGUGCUGGCGACCAGUGCUAAAGUUAAAAGUGGUGCGUUCAAACCCAGUAAGCCGAGUGGCUUCGUGCCCGCCACUCCGCCGAACAAGAAGCGGCUAGGCCGUAUGUCCCCCGGUCCUGAGCAGUUGAAUUUAAAAAAACACCAAAGCAUCAUAGUGCCGACGUGCACGGGCCCAGACCCGCCGAGUGUGCAAUGGGUUAAUGAACUAUUAACGUGGUUAUAUAAUGAUCUUGUUAUUGUGAAUGAGCUUGUGCAGCAAUGGAUUGUGUCCAUGAACGAGUUUUCCAAGAAGUCCGUUGAAGAGCAAGGUAUCGGAGUGGAGUUGGUGCGAGCCCUCGACUCCCACCCGCCCACCAUUUCCAACGUCUUCUGCGAGUGUGACUCCAGAGAUGAUGUGACGAUCACGUGUGACUGCGAAGCCACGCCUGCCUUUCAGCUGAAGGCCUUCAGCCAACGCGGCGAGAAAGUGGAAGUGUCUCAUUACAGGGUCAACGUUAACAAAUUCCGCGCUCGCCUGAAUGUGGUGUGCGUGACCGACAAACUGACAGGCGAGCUCAAGUGCGACGGGUGGCCGGAAGUGAAGGUCGCUUUAGCCCCUGUCGGACCUCUGAGGCCUAACGCCACCGAGAGUAACUUACAACAACUAGUCAGUGACAUAGUGGUGAGUGCCCUCCGCAACAUACACUUAGAGUUCAAUUUGGCGCAAUACCCGACGUGUCCCAGGCUCAGGAGGUACGUGGACACCGCUCCACGGUUGCCCCUUCAUUAUGACUCCAUGCUACAGCACGACCGGCAAAUGUACACAUCGACACCCAACUCGACGGCCGGCAGCGUGCAACUCUUGGGCGACAAACGGUUGCUUGUCAAAGUCGUCAGUGCUAAGGACUUGGGAGGUAAAUCUGGCUGCAUCGCGCCAUACUGCGUGGUGGAGAUGGACGAGCCGCCGCAGAAGAAUCAGACGGCCUUCAAGAAGGACACCACCAGCCCGCAGUGGGAGGAACACUUCCUAUUUGAUUUAUCACCGCAAACAGCAGAGCUUCUGUUCGAAGUAUACGACCGCACCGGGCCCCCGUCGCCAGGGGGCGGCUCUGCGCAACACAGGUUCCUAGGUCUCGGCUUGGUGGGCAUCGAUGAAUUGCUCGCGGCACCUUCACAGCGGCAGCAGAUAGCUCUGCAGACCAGGCCGAUGGAGGAGCACGACAUCUCUGGUACACUCACGGUUGAGUUUCUAUUCAUCGAAGGCGCUGACAUCCCGGAUUUGGGCUCCAGACCAGUCAAGAUCAAGGAAAGCCUCCGCACCGUCUCGCCUCAAGGUCACCUCACCACUACCACCAAGACCAUAUUCAAACAGAAUGGUCAUGACAGUUCCCAACUCACCGAGUCGGCUUUAAGAGAACUAGAACUGAGCCCAGCCAACGCCGCAAACAAGUCAACUCUCAUCAUCCACUCUGUCCAAAGGGAACCGAAGAAAUCUAUAAAGGUUGAACUAACUGAUUCCGGAAAAUUCGUCGAAGUAGAACGCGAGGACUCGCAAGCGACAGCGGCCAGUGUCACAGACAAUACAGAGAGUGACAUAGACAAAUCUCUGCCGGCUAGUCCUAACAUGUCGCCCGCUAAAAGUGUUAGAAUCAAAGAAAACGGUUCUAAAGUUAACGGCAACAAAGACACGCAAGGCGACUACGUGAAUAAACCCAAUGAGAACGUUCCACCUGAACCCGCGCCGCGGAAGAAACGGCGAGACUUCUUCGGAACAAUCAAAAGAAGGCUCGGCCGGUCGCGGACCCGUGGUCAGUCAUUAGAUCUUCAAGAUUCAGAAAGCGAUAAUCCUAACCACAUUCGUAGCGUCAGCGCGGAAAGAAAUAGCCACGAUAAAGCCCUAACCCUCCCGAAUAGAAACGUUUACUCUGCCGGAGCGUCGCCUGCGCAGUCUGGAGACGAAUCUAGAACUUCUAGGAGGUCCUCUCUCAGCGAGGUAUCCGGAUUCAGCACAGCCUCCGCAAGGACCUUCAUCCAUGAAGCAUCCACGCUAGUCCUAGAAACAAUCGAGGCAGGCAUCAAGAAACACUAUUUAGUGCCCCUCACUGUCGCCCAGCGGUCCAGAUGGAGACGGAAGGGCGUCAAACUACAUAUUUAUAAUGAGCAUACAUUUAUCGCUAGACAUCUUAGCGGUGGAACAGUAUGCGAAGUGUGUAACAAGACGAUAGCGCGGCGGCUCGGCAAGCAAGGCUACGAGUGCCGCGACUGUCAACUCAAAUGCCACAAACACUGCCACAUCAAGGUGCCCGGGACUUGUCCGCGCUCUACCGUGCACAAUAUGGAGCUGUCCCAUUCCCAUAGCUUUGGAAAUGGAAGAUCCAUGCUCCCAGUGUUAAAUGAAUAGUCAAGCUAAUCGAGAAGACUGCAAGAAAAAUAUUAAAAAAAAAAACAAAACAAAAAAAAAUAUACAAGAAAUUUCCAGGUUCUUUAAAAAUAUUAAAGACAUACAUCCAAUCACCAUACGCGGACAAGAAUAUAAGAAUGUUGUGACUGUAAACACAAGGCGCUUAAGUAUGCACAAAGCUAUAAUUUUCAUUAGUUAUUGAAAUAAUCUGUACCACAAAAUCUCUCUAAGUACAACAAACACUAUUAUGUACGCUAUAUUAUAUAAUAAUAGGCUUUUCUACGAAUAUAUUUAUAAUUAUUAAUAUAAUGAAAGUUUAAUACUAGUUUAUAAGGAGAUGUAGAGGUUCUAAAACUUGUUGCUGGAAUUAAAAAAAAAAAGAAACAUUUUAAAAUAAUAUCGUUCCCCGCUUUUCACCAAUUGGCGAAAUUAGGGUUAGUUUAGAUAUCGCUAGAGCCCACCACUUAAACCAUUCUUUUCUAUUACCAUAGAAUUUUGGUGAAUAAAUCUUAGGCACGCUUGUACCAACCAAAACGAAAAUACCGAGGAUUUUUUUUUUCAUCUCUACCUCAUUUUCUCAAAAACAAUAUACCUGAUAUGUUAAAGUUACCAACCGUUCACUUACAAGUUUUGUUAAUAUAUUUUGUUGAAUAAUUAAUUAUUAUAUAUGUCGGACUAAAUAAUUAAACAAUAUAUUUAUUUUAGUUACUUAAGUGCUUUUGCACAUUGUGAUCUGGCAUAAUGUAACGUGCAAUACUUAAAACCUACUUACAUGUGUAUUAGUGCUUGGAGCUUCGAAGUUAAAUAUUUAAGAGAAAAUUCUUGGCCAUACAAAAUAAUUACCUUAAUGUCAAUCCACUGUGCAAAGAUGUGUUUUUUAUUAAGGUGUCACCUUAAACGGAUGUGAUUAAAGUUGUUUUUUUCUAUAAUUCUCCAAUUUUAAGGAUAGAACAUAGAUGGGUUAUGUUAUAAGCUGUCACUGUUAAAAAUAUUUCUAACUUUAGUGAUACUCACAUGUCAGAAUUGCCCGCAAUGUUUCUUUAAUAACAAAUAAAUAAAUAAAUUUUAAUACAAACAGAUAUUGGGGCGUAUUUGUAAAGUCCAUAUUUUUUUUUUUUAUUAAUUUCAAGAGAACAUGUUCGUUUAAGGUGUCAGUUUGACGUGUGAUUGACAUAAUUCGAAACUAAAAUGUAUGAUACAAAUGUUUUGUAUGAUUACAUUUCGCUCUCUCCAUAAAUUCGUAUUGUUACAUUAAAACUCCAACGAUUAAAUUACGAAAAUCAUAUUUUUAAAGUCGCCAUAUUUAUUUUAUGCUGUCAUCUUAUCUAAGGGAAUUACUACCCUGUAUUAACCUGGCAAUACAAAUAAGGAAUCUAAGGUCAAAAUCAAAGACACAUUACCUGAAAGAACCGGAUAUACCACUAGAAAACAUUACUCUCUUUUCGAAGAGAACCGGGUAAAAACAACGCAACAAAAUCAACUUUUUAAGCAACUUCAAAAUGGAAGUCUAUUUUUUUGUAUGUUACGCGAAAUCAUGUUCAAUUUUGAACUGAUUUCGAUAUUACUUAUUAGUGCUUAAAUUAAAAAAAUCUAAAAUUUAAAAAGCACAAAUUCAUUUGUACAAAAAUGUCGAUUUAAAAGUGCUUGUAAACAAGUAUUUUUGAAUGCAGAUGAUGAUAUGAAUUUUAAUUAGUCGCUGUUUUUUAAAUGAACUGUUAAACCUUUAUUAAUAAAAACUAAAAAGUUCUAUAAACCUAUUUUAACUAUUACGUUGUUUUGUCACUGUCUUUCGAAUUAAAAAGUCAGUGCGAAAGAUAAGGACAGAAUAUUCAAUAGCUAAAACAUGUUUACGAGAGUUUUGACGUCUUUUAUAAAUAAAGGGAUUAAAUUAUUGCAUAAAUAAUAAACAAGAUACAAUGAAUUACUUACAGGUUAGUAAACACAGUCACGGCUUGUCAUUUUCAAUGAAUUGUUUCAAAAUUAAAUCGUGAAUGUCAAACAAAAUGUUUGUAGCAUUAUUAUAAAUGUUAUUCAGACAGCGAUGUUCAAUAUAUAUAAAUAUUAUAUGACAAAAAAAAAAUGUAUUUGUACUCUUUUAUUAAGAUUGUUAACGCAUAAUGUUUUAUGUGGUUCCGUAUAAAUAUUAUUAUUAAUUUAUAAAUGUUGCGCAAUGUUUUUGUCUGUAAUUUUAUUUUUUCCUUUUUUUUUAAAAUAAAAUGCCUUUUUAAUA